rnacentral:tRNA from 2 species
GCCUUGGCGCAAUGGUAGCGCGUUGGUUUUCGGCACCAAAGGUUGUGGGUUCGGUACGUGGCAUUCCUAAUGGGAACCG